rnacentral:rRNA from 1 species
CCUACGGGAGGCAGCAGUGGGGAAUAUUGCACAAUGGGGGAAACCCUGAUGCAGCGACGCCGCGUGAGUGAAGAAGUAAUUCGUUAUGUAAAGCUCUAUCAGCAGGGAAGAAAAUGACGGUACCUGAGUAAGAAGCCCCGGCUAACUACGUGCCAGCAGCCGCGGUAAUACGUAUGGUGCAAGCGUUAUCCGGAUUUACUGGGUGGAAAGGGAGCGCAGGCGGCACGGCAAGCCUGAUGUGAAAGCCCGCGGCCCAACCGCGGGACUGCAUUGGGAACUACCGGGCUGGAGUGCCGGAGAGGUAGGCGGAAUUCCUAGUGUAGCGGUGAAAUGCGUAGAUAUUAGGAGGAACACCAGUGGCGAAGGCGGCCUACUGGACGGUGACUGACGCUGAGGCACGAAAGCGUGGGGAUCGAACAGGAUUAGAUACCCUAGUAGUC